rnacentral:lncRNA from 1 species
GCUUUUAAUUGGCUGCUGGGAUUACAGGCAUGAGCCCCACCGCACCUGGCCUAAGUUCACUUUUUCAAGGCAGCGGGCAGUGUUUCGGAUUUUUGUUUUAUGCCAGUUCUUUUUUUUCAAAACUCAAAGUUUUUUUUUUUUUUUUUUUGUGAUGGAGUCUCGCUCUGUCACCUAGGCUGGAGUGCAGUGGUGCGAACUUGGCUCACUGCAAGCUCUGCCUCCCGG